rnacentral:rRNA from 1 species
AACGAACGCUGGCGGCAUGCCUAACACAUGCAAGUCGAACGAGACCUUCGGGUCUAGUGGCGCACGGGUGCGUAACGCGUGGGAAUCUGCCCUUCGGUUGGGAAUAACUGAGAGAAAUUUCAGCUAAUACCUUAUAAUGUCUUCGGACCAAAGAUUUAUCGCCGAGGGAUGAGCCCGCGUAGGAUUAGGUAGUUGGUGGGGUAAUGGCCUACCAAGCCGACGAUCCUUAGCUGGUCUGAGAGGAUGAUCAGCCACACUGGGGCUGAGACACGGCCCAGACUCCUACGGGAGGCAGCAGUGGGGAAUAUUGGACAAUGGGCGAAAGCCUGAUCCAGCAAUGCCGCGUGAGUGAUGAAGGCCUUAGGGUUGUAAAGCUCUUUUACCCGGGAUGAUAAUGACAGUACCGGGAGAAUAAGCUCCGGCUAACUCCGUG